AUGGCUGUCAUGGGAGGGGAGGGAAGAGUUCUGGGCACCCCAGGAGCCACUCCUAGCACCCAUUGCCCAGCCAGGAUGAGCGUCCCAGCAUCAUCCCCUCCCCAGGCCAGAAAUGCCCAGGGAGAAGCCCUGAUCUAUGAGAACCGACUGCCCAGAGACCCCCCGUUCUCUUUGGGGGGACCCCUCUCAGGGGCUGGGCCCUCACUCUCCUCUGCCCCCACAUGCAGCCCCUGCUCCUGCCCCAUCUGUUCAGGGACAGAACUAUGCCCCCAGCCCCAGAUGCAGCCCCCACCUAGGCUGGAAGGAGAGUCCAGCCCAGAGCCGCCACCCCUCCCCCGGCCCUGCCCAGCGAGUGGGGCCCCAGCAGGGCAAAGCCAUUGCUCACUGCUGCUGCCCAUUCCCAGCCCUGACUCAUGGGUGGGGGAGGAGGGAGCGGGGGCUGAGCCAUGCAAGAUGUUCCAGGCCUGGGUAUGUCAGGGCAGCCUGGGAGCCCUCCUCAGCUCAGCCUCCUGCUCAUGGGUGUGUCUCUCCAUAGUGCUGCCUUCUUUGCAGGGGCCGCGCAGCCCCUGGCAAGCUGUACACAGGGAUCGCUGCUCCUGCCAGGGAAAUGCAGCUACCUCUGGGGUGGCGCGCAGGAGUUGUUUAAUUGCUGUGCAGCCAGUGAGGACGGGAAGUGAAAGACACGGUGCCCAGUUGAAGUUGCAGGGUGGGACGGAUUUGAGGUUGGUGGAAUUUAGCCCAAUAAGGAAAUUCAAGGGAAGGACAGGCAGGUUUCAUAACCAAGCAGAGACCUCUCCAAGACGGCUCCACUUUGGAAGAUCCCCCGCACAGGGCCCCGCCAGCAGAGCAAGCCUGGCCUGUGCUGCUUGGGGCACAAGGGAAGUGUUGGCCUCCCUGCUCGGCGGGCUGAUUCCACAAGUGGUGACUCAGGGCCGUGCCCCCGGUCCCUGGGCAGCGGCUGUGUCAAGGCCGUUCUGGGCAGCGCAGAGGAGCCCCAGUGCCUUUGAUUUUUUACAGACUUCCACCCUGGUGCCAUCGAUCCCUGCGCUGUUCUUGCCCCUGGAGCUGGGCGGGCGUGACUUGCUGCAAAGGAGGCACAGAGCGACACUGGAGAUGCAGCGGCUGGGGGCUGUGCCCUGUUUCAGGAAAGUGCCUUUCACCCCAGCGACCUCCAGAGCUCUGUGCGAAGGCAGAGGGAGCCAGAGGGUGGAUCAGCCUGGCUUGGGGCCCCCCACCCGAAAGCCGACAUCUUGGGGAACUUGA
rnacentral:lncRNA from 1 species